rnacentral:rRNA from 1 species
CCUACGGGCGGCAGCAGUGGGGGAUAUUGCACAAUGGGGGAAACCCUGAUGCAGCGACGCCGCGUGUGGGAAGACGGUCCUCUGGAUUGUAAACCACUUUCCCCAGGGACGAAGAUGAUGGUACCGGGGGAGUAAGCUCCGGCUAACUACGUGCCAGCAGCCGCGGUAAUACGUAGGGAGCGAGCGUUGUCCGUAAUUACGGGUUGUAAUGGGAGCUUAGGCGGAGAUGAAAGUUGGGUGUCAAAACUACGGGCUAAACUGGUAGUCGCACUCGAAACUGCAGCUCUUGAGUGAAGUAGAGGCAGGCGGAAUUCCUAGUGUAGCGGUGAAAUGCGUAGAUAUUAGGAGGAACACCAGUGGCGAAGGCGGCCUGCUGGGCUUUUACUGACGCUGAGGCUCGAAAGUGUGGGGAGCAAACAGGAUUAGAUACCCUUGUAGUC